UCUGGUGACAAUAGCGGAGGGGAAACACCUGGCUACAUCCCGAACCCAGUAGUUAAGCCCUCCAGCGGCGAUGGUACUGCCGGGGCGACCCGGUGGGAGAGUAGCACGUUGCCAGGA
rnacentral:rRNA from 1 species